UAAAAAACUAAAAAAAAA
rnacentral:sRNA from 1 species